AGGUGUGACUAUACCACCACUAAUGCAUCGGAUGCCAUCAAAACUUUGCAGAUAAGUGUGCUUGGGCGAGAGAAAUACUAGAAUGGGUGACCUCCUGGGAAGACCUCGUGUUUCACCUC
rfam:Lupinus angustifolius cultivar Tanjil contig_1835, whole genome shotgun sequence.